AUGUGCAACCCAAAGAACAAAGGUGGCAUGGGUUUUAGAGAUAUCCAUUGUUUUAAUGUUGCUCUCUUAACUAAACAGGCUUGGAGGCUCAUUGACAACCCGGAUUCACUAUGCGCCUUGAUCCUUAAGGCAAAAAAAAUCGACGGAGAUCUUAUCAAUGCAAUUUUGAAAAGGAAAGCUUCUUACACAUGGCAGAGUAUUAUGGCAGGAGUUGAAACACUGAGACCUGAACAUAUUUGGAGAGUUGGUGACGGUGAGAAAAUCAAUAUAUGGGAAGAUUCUAGGAUCGUGCAGAGUGCAUUAAGAAAGGCUAUAACACCUAAAGGAAACAAUCAUAUGAUGGGUUAG
rnacentral:rRNA from 1 species